CUCGUAGGCGGCCAACUAAGUCAGACGUGAAAUCUCUCGGCUUAACCGGGGAACUGCGUCUGAUACUGGAUGGCUUGAGUAUGGGAGAGGGAUGCGGAAUUCCAGGUGUAGCGGUGAAAUGCGUAGAUAUCUGGAGGAACACCGGUGGCGAAGGCGGCAUCCUGGACCAUCACUGACGCUGAGGAGCGAAAGCCAGGGGAGCAACG
rnacentral:rRNA from 1 species